GAUGAACGCUGGCGGCGUGCCUAAUACAUGCAAGUCGAGCGAACGGACGAGAAGCUUGCUUUUCUGAUGUUAGCGGCGGACGGGUGAGUAACACGUGGAUAACCUACCUAUAAGACUGGGAUAACUUCGGGAAACCGGAGCUAAUACCGGAGAAUAUUUUGAACCGCAUGGUUCAAAAGUGAAAGACGGUCUUGCUGUCACUUAUAGAUGGAUCCGCGCUGCAUUAGCUAGUUGGUAAGGUAACGGCUUACCAAGGCAACGAUGCAUAGCCGACCUGAGAGGGUGAUCGGCCACACUGGAACUGAGACACGGUCCAGACUCCUACGGGAGGCAGCAGUAGGGAAUCUUCCGCAAUGGGCGAAAGCCUGACGGAGCAACGCCGCGUGAGUGAUGAAGGUCUUCGGAUCGUAAAACUCUGUUAUUAGGGAAGAACAUAUGUGUAAGUAACUGUGCACAUCUUGACGGUAACUAGUCAGAAAGCCACGGCUAACUACGUG
rnacentral:rRNA from 1 species